UACAGAGGUCUCAAGCGUUGUUCGGAUUCAUUGGGCGUAAAGGGUGCGUAGGUGGCGGGGUAAGUCAGGUGUGAAAUUUCGGAGCUUAACUCCGAAACUGCAUUUGAUACUGCCUUGCUUGAGGACUGGAGAGGAGACUGGAAUUCCUGGUGGAGCGGUGAAAUGCGCAGAGAUCAGGAGGAACACCCGUAGCGAAGGCGGCACUCUGGGCCGAUACUGACACUGAGGAGCGAAAGCGUGGGGAGCGAACAGG
rnacentral:rRNA from 1 species